rnacentral:rRNA from 1 species
UACGGGGGGGGCAAGCGUUGUUCGGAAUUACUGGGCGUAAAGGGCGUGUAGGCGGCCAACUAAGUCCGACGUGAAAUCCCCAGGCUUAACCUGGGAACUGCGUCGGAUACUGGAUGGCUUGAAUCCGGGAGAGGGAUGCAGAAUUCCAGGUGUAGCGGUGAAAUGCGUAGAUAUCUGGAGGAAUACCGGUGGCGAAGGCGGCAGCCUGGACCGGCAUUGACGCUGAAGCGCGAAAGCUAGGGGAGCAAACGGG